rnacentral:lncRNA from 1 species
GAUGCUCCCUGCAAAUAACAUAUCUCAAGAACCUAAUAAAAAUGAAACUGCGGUCCAUAGGGCAGGUUGUUCUUUCCAAGUGAAGCUUUCCAACACUCUCAGAUAAUUCAUGAAGCCAGGACACUAUUUUUACAAAUUAGAUAAGCAUCUAUUAAACAGAACGAAGCAGGCCAAAGCAAAACAUUAAUACGAAAAUCUCAAACGACCAUAUCCAUCACUUUGCCCAGAGAAAUAAUGGGAAGAUGGAUGAUUGGAGUUGGUGAAGCUCACCUUGGUGGGGAUAAAUGUGAUAGGAACCUAUGUGUUCACGGAGAGCUGACCAAUAGGGUUAGCUUGUGUCAUUAGCCAUGCUUGUCGCUGUUCAACGUGCGCUGCUUGUCAAGCCGAUUCCAUGGUGCAACGGAGGAGCCACAAGAUCCAACCGUAUGUACUUGGCAAGAAUGCUAAAAAGACAAAAAGACAACACAUUCAGCCAUGGGGAAAGUGGCAGCAACAAGGACGUGUACACAAGGAUACUGCAGAUUCCUCUUACCUUCCCAUGGCUGAAUCCUUUGUCUCGCCACUGAGGGCUGCAGGUACGAGCAUGCUUGACUGAUUUCUUGUAGUAACCAGGAUACAUAUUCCACCAAAUCACCCUUUAUGGUUUGCCUAUUGUUUUGAUAUGUUCUACAUCAUGAUCAAACAAUUAACAAUGCCUAAUAAGCAGAAUGCAAUCCUAAGAAUAUGCCUUAAAAAAUUAGACCAGGUACAAAAAACUACAAAUAGCACAUGCACAAUCUUUUUAUGUAUAUUAGAAAAAUGUUCAUGUCAUAUAUCUGCAUGGUGAAAUAUUAAGCAAUUGUUAACUCAAAAUUAGCAUCGUAAAGUAUAUGCAGUUAUGGGGAGGUGUUGAAUACCUUAGAUGCAUUGAGAAUUACAUCAAUCAAACUUUUGGCACAUAAAUCUAGUGGUUGGAGGUGCAUUUAGCCAUGCUUCUCAUCAAGAUCUGAUCACUUGAAUCCGAAGCAAGAUGAGCACUUUGUAUAGUUAAUCAAAAAGCUGAAUACGCAAAAUGUAUCGAGAAUUAAUUGGUGUACUGCAUAAAUCAAACUUUUGACCCAAAAAAUAAAACCAUAUAACUUUGUAUUAAUCUUCAGUUUCUAAAAAAUGAACACACUCCAUGUAUGCAUUACUCUACCAAGGAUGCACAUACAAUCUGCAUUUCGGCAGCAUGUUGGGAACUAAAAAGUGACGAAUUGGAGAUGUAUGAAACAAAAAUAUGGCAAAUACCACGGGAAACAAUUGAUAUAUUCCUCACAUCUCUGAUCAAGCCAUUGUAGCCAAAAAAACAUGCAGGUCGGAAACACAAAAAAUAGAUCUUGCAUGUUUGUCAACAAACGCCUAUCAAAAUUCCAAGAUCACAUAUAUGACAUAUCUACCAGACCCUGAAUCAAAGUAAAUUUCCUUCCUUAUUACAUUAGCUAUUACCCAAUGGUGCAGUGGACAGUUAUGAACCACAAGCACAUUGCAUACCAAACAAGUAAGCCAAACCGUGGACAAUAAGCGCAUAAAUCCAUUUUUACAUAAUAAACGUUACAUCUUAUCAUUUUCUAUUUGCAAACAAAUAUGUUGUUAUUAGUUAGUCAGUUUGUACUUGUCUAAAAAUUAACGAAACAUGUUAAUAUGCAGCAGAAAAUGAUAUUUUUUAACAAGGCCUCCUGGAAACGUGUGCUAUAUAACCUUUGUGUCUGCGUGGAGCAUACCUCAGUUCAGUCCUACAGCCCUUUGAUGUAGUCUACAACAAUAUCCAGCAUAUCUGAAGUAUUUGUUUGCUGCGUCUUCAAGAAGAAACUUAACAUGUUUCCAGCAAUUGUAUUGAACGACUUCUCCGAGAGAAUAGCUGCGCAAAUGCUAUUAUGAAAUCUGAAGUAACUAAGGUCCGAGUCAUCAACAACUACCAAGGUUCUGAAUUUCCAUGGGCAACACUUCCAGUUUGGAUUAGAAUCAUCAGUUUUAGUACGUUAGAAUUUAGUUUUGUAUCGCUGAAAGUCAUCAGUUUUGGUACUUUAGAGGGUACAAGCUUCUGUAACUCAUGGUGAAAAAUUCAUCUCUAUAUAUUGACAUGAUUGAUAAAAAGGGCAAC